AUCCUGAAGCGCGAUGGAUAGCGCGUUGGACUUCUAAUCCAUAGGUCAUGGGCUCGAAUCCCACUUGGGAUG